UACAGAGGUCUCAAGCGUUGUUCGGAUUCAUUGGGCGUAGAGGGUGCGUAGGCGGCGCGGUAAGUCGGGUGUGAAAUCUUGGAGCUUAACUCCGAAACUGCAUUCGAUACUGCCGUGCUUGAGGACUGGAGAGGAGACUGGAAUUUACGGUGUAGCGGUGAAAUGCGUAGAUAUCGUAAGGAAGACCAGUGGCGAAGGCGGGUCUCUGGACAGUUCCUGACGCUGAAGCACGAAGGCCAGGGGAGCAAACGGG
rnacentral:rRNA from 1 species